UACGUAGGGGGCAAGCGUUGUCCGGAAUCAUUGGGCGUAAAGCGCACGUAGGCGGACAUUUAAGUCAGGGGUGAAAUCCCAGAGCUCAACUCUGGAACUGCCUUUGAUACUGGGUGUCUUGAGUAUGGAAGAGGUGAGUGGAAUUCCGAGUGUAGAGGUGAAAUUCGUAGAUAUUCGGAGGAACACCAGUGGCGAAGGCGGCUCACUGGUCCAUUACUGACGCUGAGGUGCGAAAGCGUGGGGAGCAAACAGG
rnacentral:rRNA from 1 species